rnacentral:lncRNA from 1 species
GUUUCUGCCUGCAGCUAGACCAGGAAGAAAGGAGACUGAGCAGAGGAAAUGAAAGAGUAAAGGAGAGGAGAGAGUGGGUAGGACACAAAGCUGAGGUGACUGAAGCAGCAGGAAGUAGGCAGGGCAUGAAGAAUUGGGAUUCAAAGCCCUUGAAUUUAGUUCCCAACUUCACUUAUGGGGCAAUGCUCCAAGUCACUCAGUCACCCUGAACUUCAGCUGGAGAAGGGGAACAGGAAUAAUGCCUAUCUUCCAGGAGUGUUCUGCACAAAACUGAAGGCACAGAUGAAAAAGCACUCUGCAAAUUAAAAGAGAAGGAUGGAUAGAGAAAAGCAUCAUUACAAAAGUGAAAUGUGUGAAUUUUAUUCUGGCUUUGAACAUUGAGUAGACGAAGAAGACAAUUCCAGACGGAGGAAACUCCACAAGAAAUAUCAUGGAAAUUUGAAAGAACACAGUGGGCUUGGGAAGAGGUGCUUCCAAGACCAAGAUAACCAGGCAAUCAUAGUAGAUGCAUCAAUGCACCCUUGCCCAAGGGCCUAGACAAGAGGAGGAAGGAAAGGAGGAGCACGUGCACAAAGCUAAGGAGGUGAUUAACAACAUGAUACAGUAUUGUUUAGCUUCGCAUGAAUUUUAUCACCUUGCCUAGAACCAGCCACCAUCUGCCAGGGCUCCUGACUUUUUCUGAAAUGAAUAGACACUAAAGCCUGCUGGGGAAUUUCAUGGAAAUCAAGAUGACUCAACCCAGAGUCCAUUUCAAGGCUAGGAUGCUAGAGGACGCCAACAAAGGAGUAGGGAAGUGAAACGGAUCAGCUCACAUCCAAGCCCUUGCAUGAUCAAUCCUGCAGUAGGAGUGCUGCUCAGUUGGGACUCAUGAGAGCCCGGAAGAGGAAAAAGCAGCUCUAAGCAUAGCAAAGAAGCUGUUAUGGAAAAGACCCAAAUGUUAAAAUGGUGGACAUAGUAAAGUGAUUGGUUCUGCUUAGGGGAAUCUAGAUCCCCACAUUUUGACCUCCACUGGAGUCUCAGAAGAACAAGUGCCAGGGGGGCUUGCCACAGAGGCCAAGGCAGUGAAUGUCAGGCACAUCACAGUCCCCAAGAUGGGGAGAAGACUGAGAUGCAGGGUAACAACUGCAAUCCAUUCAUGGGAGCCAUGUUUAUCUUAAAUCAUUGACAGUGAGAUAAGGAUCAUGUCAGCCUUCAUACCUUUGAUGAUGAUCCCAGGCUGCAACAGUGACACAUAGAACUGGAUUCAGUAACUAACUACAGAUUCCAUCAACCAGGACUAGUAAAGUGAAAGGCAGAAAUUGGGAGGAGGGGUUUCUUUCUUGCUUAUAAAACUUUAUUUGGUUGUGUUGAGUAUGUGCAUGUAUGUAUGAAAUCCCAUAAAGCAGUCUUCUUAGGAACAAGCCAACAUGCCACAAUGUAGGAGAUCUUUGGAGCACUGGCCUAAAUGGCAGAGAGCUCAAGGGACUCUGCUUUGUACAAGGCAUGAUUUGUACCACCACCACUAUCCCUGUUUCAGAGCACUGUUGAAUUGUUCCAAACCUGGAUUUCUAUGUCAGCUCCCUGUCUAUAGUACUUGACUGAUAAAUGCUAGUUUCUGAAAUCUGCUUUGGUUCUAUAAUUUAUUAGACAGCUUUUUCUUCCCAUUUUAUUACUUGUUUUUACUGUCAUUGGUAUAUUAUCUCUUACAGUGAAAACAUUCAUAGGCUGAUUGAAGAGAAGAUCUGAAAUUAUUAGGCAGCAAGCAUACAAAACCCUUGCUUUAUAAAGAUAAUAUCUUAAAGGCCUAAUGUCUAUGGUUCAAAGCAGCCUGGAGAUGUUGGCUAAAUCUUCCAUCAUAGAGUCCUCAUGGGAUCUGGAAGCUCUGAUUUAUCUUCCUUCAGGCCCUAUAAGUUAGCUUUCCACAUCUGUAGGUUCCACAAUCAACCUUGGAUCAAAAACAUUUGAAA